rnacentral:rRNA from 1 species
UGACCUCAAAUCAGGUAGGACUACCCGCUGAACUUAAGCAUAUCAAUAAGCGGAGGAAAAGAAACUAACAAGGAUUCCCCUAGUAACUGCGAGUGAAGCGGGAAAAGCUCAAAUUUAAAAUCUGUCAGUCUUUGAUUGAUCGAGUUGUAAUCUAGAGAAGUGUUAUCCGCGCUGGACCGUGUACAAGUCUCCUGGAAUGGAGCGUCAUAGAGGGUGAGAAUCCCGUCUUUGACACGGACUACCAGGGCUUUGUGAUGCGCUCUCAAAGAGUCGAGUUGUUUGGGAAUGCAGCUCAAAAUGGGUGGUAAAUUCCAUCUAAAGCUAAAUAUUGGCGAGAGACCGAUAGCGAACAAGUACCGUGAGGGAAAGAUGAAAAGAACUUUGGAAAGAGAGUUAAACAGUACGUGAAAUUGCUGAAAGGGAAACGCUUGAAGUCAGUCGCGUUGUCCAGGGAUCAACCUUGCUUUUGCUUGGUGUACUUUCUGGUUAACGGGUCAGCAUCAAUUUUGAUCAUUGGAAAAAGAUUAGGGGAAUGUGGCAUCUUWGGAUGUGUYAUAGCCCUUGGUUGUAUACAAUGRWYAGGAUUGARGAACUCASCA